GGGGAUGCAAGUUUCGACGAAUGAUCUUUUCUAAGAUAUGCAGGCCGAGCCGGAUAACUCGCAAAACUUUCCAAAACGAUAACUGCUAAAAACAGUUUCACUUUCGCUCCUCGCGCUUUAGCUUACGCUUAAGCCUUUGAGCCAUCGACCCGCGAUGCCUAAUGGCGACCAGUCGGUGUAAUAAAUUAGGCUCGCUUGAUGAGGAGUCGCUUCGUCCAACAUCAGGCUAACUCGAAACGAAGCAAAGCAUUUCCGUAAGGAAAACUAAGCCUGUAGAUUGUCUUAGGUCAGCCAUUCGGACGUCGGUUCAUUACCGGCCAUCUCCACCU
rfam:Candidatus Doudnabacteria bacterium RIFCSPHIGHO2_01_FTLL_49_9 rifcsphigho2_01_scaffold_68522, whole genome shotgun sequence.